UGCGUAGGCGGAAAAUUAAGUCUGUGAUGAAAUCCUGCAGCUCAACUGUAGAACUGUCAUUGAUACUGAUUUUCUUGAAUUUAGUUGAGGUAGGCGGAAUGUGUAAUGUAGCGGUGAAAUGCUUAGAUAUUACACAGAACACCGAUUGCGAAGGCAGCUUACUAAGCUAACAUUGACGCUGAGGCACGAAAGCGUGGGGAGCGAACAGGAUUAGAUACCCUGGUAGUCC
rnacentral:rRNA from 1 species